GACGAACGCUGGCGGCGUGCUUAACACAUGCAAGUCGAACGGAAAGGCCCUGCUUGUGUGGGGUGCUCGAGUGGCGAACGGGUGAGUAACACGUGAGUAACCUGCCCUUGACUUUGGGAUAACUUCAGGAAACUGGGGCUAAUACCUGAUAGGAGCUCCUGCUGCAUGGUGGGGGUUGGAAAGUGUCGGCGGUUGGGGAUGGACUCGCGGCUUAUCAGCUUGUUGGUGGGGGAGUGGCUUACCAAGGCUUUGACGGGUAGCCGGCCUGAGAGGGUGACCGGCCACAUUGGGACUGCGAUACGGCCCAGACUCCUACGGGAGGCAGCAGUGGGGAAUAUUGCACAAUGGGCGGAAGCCUGAUGCAGCAACGCCGCGUGCGUGAUGACGGCCUUCGGGUUGUAAACCGCUUUCGCCUGUGACGAAGCGUGAGUGACGGUAAUGGGUAAAGAAGCACCGGCUAACUACGUG
rnacentral:rRNA from 1 species